GUCUGUGGCUAUACCACCCUGAACAUGGCCAAUCUUAUCUGAUCUCAGAAGCUAAGCAGGGUCAGGCCUGGUUAGUACUUGGAUGGGAGAGAUUUGAACUAUUUCCACUGUUU
rnacentral:rRNA from 1 species